ACUCGUACACUAAACAUAGGCCGACAAGGCCAUAAAAUCUUUCACAUACAUGACAUAUUACUACAAGUGUCUAAGAGUAGAUAAACACCAUAAAGGUCGGGACAGGGCCCCGCCAUAUUAAACAAUACAUGUCCAUAUCAUACUGACCAAAUAAGCAACACCGGAGCAAAUGGAGAGCACAAACAUCUUCCGCUGAGCUGAUAGCCUACUUGGAGGACUUUCAACCUGUCUAUCGGGACCUGCGAGCAUGCAACGCAGCAUCCUCAGGCAAAAGGGAUGUCAAUACAAAUAAUGUACCGAGUAUGUAAGGAAUGAAAAUUAGUAAAUAAAAGACAUAGAGAAACAUGUAAGUCUGAAUAUCUCUAUGAAUCAUUUCAUAUUUAUAAUGUCAUGUAUAUGCGUAUAAAUGUCAUAUAAUGCAUAGGUAUAUGCGUUCAUAACAUCAUCAAGCCUCUGAGAGCAUCCCAUAAUAUCAUCUCGGCCACUGUGGGCAAAUCGUCAAUGUAUACCAGCUGAUCAGGUGGUGGUGCGUAUAUAACGCCAUAACCUUUUCCCAUAUCCCACAUACAUAUAAUAUACGCGUAUAUAACGCCAUCUGGUCAUGGGUCAAUGUACAUGUAUAAAUGAAUGAAAUGCAUAAGAAGUGCGUUAAUAAGGUUUCUCGGAAUGUCAUAAAAUCAAUAUGUCUUUCGGAUAAACUUUAUCAAAUACGUAUUUUUCUAAGACCCAUGAACAGAAUAUAUAAUAAUAAUUCAUAUGGGGAAUCAAGAAUAUAGACACCCCUAGUACUUCUAUGAAUAGAGUCAUUUAUGAAAAUUAUGCGUUUACUCGUUUCGUUUGUAUCGUAUGGAUCAUGCCAAAAAGAAAGAAGGGAUAACCUUAACAUACCUGAGCCGAUUCUCUUGACAAUCAAUCUAACACACGUCAAUUGCGAAAAAGACACUUAACGGCGGAUAGAAGUAGGAAAAAAUAUGUAUGAUGUUUAUGAGAAAGAUUGUGCCGUGCUCUCUUAGAAUUGCAAAUCCCGUUGCUAUUACGCAGUAUAUCUUUGUAUGAAAUGCUUGAAGCAAUAACGUUGCUAUUGCAAAAUCAUCUUUGCUGAAGCCUUCUUCUUAAGAUGUGAUCAAUUCAAUAACGUUGCUAAGAUACUAAGAAAUCUCGUUUGAAUUUUCAUUGUAACCUCAUCCGUACUUUGUAGUCAUAAGUCUCUUCCAAUUUGUGAUGUUAGAGAGCCUUUCUUAAUAGCAUUUUUCAACCAAAAAUGAGAUAAGGUGCACAUGAAUUUAAAUGGUGCCACCACCUCCUUAAGUAUAAGAUUAGUUGGCAAGCAAUUUGUUGCCACACUUUCAUAAUCCCACGUGGAUAGUUGCCUCCCCUAAUAAUUAUCCAAAGUCCUUAUUAAUUACCCCUAAAUUCUUUAAUUAACUAGUUAAUCUUCCAUUAACCAAUAAUAACUAAUUAACCACAUAAUUAAGAAUUAUCUCAAAUUACUCAAAAUACUACUCACUUUUAACACACUUUAUGUACCCUACUAUCGUGGUCAUGGGGCACCUUGUAUGGCACUAGUCCAUAAAUACCGGGUAUUAUAGCUUGGACCGAUCAAACGCUAAAAUCAAGGAUGAAUAAUAAACAAAUCCGAGUCAAUAACACUUACCCCAAUCCAAAUAGUGAAAAUUCCCUCUAAAAUCACCCAAAUCUGAGCUCUAGAUCUUAAAAUGUGAUAAAAUAACCAAAACCCUCAAAAUAGAGUACUUAAGGGUUUGUCCAGUGAUACCCUUCGUGAUCGCAGAAUCUACUUCUGAAGAGCAGGUUGACAACCAAUUAUUUUCUGAAGAGAAGCAUCACUCUGUUGGAAUUUGUGAACAUCUUCCUGCUUGAUCAACAAUGCAAUAAACUUGAGGGUGAAUACACCGAAAUCAAAACUGCAAACACAUGCAAGAAAAUUGAAAGAUUCAACAAAAACAACACAAAAAUGUAAGUUGCAUGUAAAUUAAAAAGAAAAAUAUAUGUCAGUGCAUACUUGUUCUCCUGUUGGGGUGUAACCAUUCACUUGAUCUCAAAUUCAGUAACAUCGUUUUUGUAGUCUUUAUGUUCACCACAAAAAUUCAUACAUUUGAGCAUAUGUGGGAUAAGUCGAGCAAAACGUUUGAUGAGCUUUAUUGCCCUCUCGUACGGUUUAUUGUGUAAGGAGUCAUACACAUAUAUUGUUUUUGUUUUAAAUUCCAACACUCCCAACAAGUAAUGAGUUUAUAAUUGAUCUUCAGCUAUUUGAUCAAGACAAUUGAAAUAAACACUCUAUCGACAUAAACCCACGAGAUUAAACAUGAGUGUUCAAUGCUUAUUAUAUAAUUAGCCGUCUUAUGCCUAGUUAAUUCUUCUUCAAACCAAGUGAAUUCAUUAAGUUCAUUUGGUUGUAUGGGUACACCUACCUCAACUUCUUUCUUCCUACCCCUCUUCGUCUUUGGUUUACUCUUUAACUGCUUAGACACAAGUUUCUUCUUAUCCUCUUCUAACGAACACUCUAUAGCAAGUUUGACCACAAACUUAUUGAAAACCAAAUCAGUUGUAGUGCAUUUUGAUUAUGGAUAAUCCAAAAGGUGAUAGCAAUUUUUAUUGUGCUAAUAGUAUACCCCAAUAUCGAUAUGCUCAACAGAGCAAAAAAAUAGAAAAUAUUAGAAACAUAUACAUAAAAGAAAACAUAAAGUAUGACAUCUGAAGUGUACAACUAAUUUAGGAUCCGGUCACAUACCUUGUCCACAAGAUCAAAGUUAGGGUAUGUAAGUUCUAAAAGGAACGACUUAUCCAAUGUGAGUGAACCCAAAUUGAACGUACACUCAUGUUCCCGCUUGCUCGCCUUCAACCAUUUUGUAAAUCUCUGCAAUAUUUGUUUAUCUUGCUUCACAUAAUGGAAUGAACAUCGUCUUACAUGCUUAUCUUUUUUCGUAUAUGCACCCUUUAUCUUUGUCUUAUGAGUGACAUAUAGAUUCUCAACCAAUGACUGAGAUUGCAAUUCUUUUUCCCUAAAGCACCUACUUCAGCUGGUAUUGGAUGUGCUUCAUCCUGCUGUUGUUCGGUAUCAACUUAAAUCGUUGCUUCAGAUGCAGCUGAACCAUCCACACACAUAGCAACAAAUUGCUCUGCAACAACCUCUUGCGUAUGACAUUAUUUUGUUACUUGAGUAGCAACAAAAGAAGAUUCGCCUUCUACAGGGCUCUCUUGUAGUGCCAAGUGAAAAUGAACAAAUAUCGAAUUGAGGGAUAUCAGUGACAUGGGGGGAUAACUUUCUCCUCUUAGAACUUAGUUCAAGUUGUGACCCAUCAGAUGGGAUCUAUAAGGAUUACACUGAUAUAUUACAACAACAACAACAAAUACAAUAUAAUCUCAUAAGUAGGGUUUGGGGAGGAUAGUGUGUACGCAGAUCUUAUCAUACCUGGUAGGUAGAGAGGAUGUUUCUGAUAGAUCCUCCGUUCAAGGCAAGAUGAAAAUAAAGUAGUAGCAUAAGCAUUAACAACAACAAGAUAACGAAGUAAAGAGGACAACACAUAAAACUAGAUAUCUAACAAUAAUAUCGCACCGGACUAACACUAAUGCUACUGGUAUGUAAAAGAGAUACUUUCGACAACCUACUAGCCUUCUACCUUAUUUCUUGACCUCCAUACCUUCCUGUCAAGUGUCAUGUCCUCGGUAAGCUGAAGCAACGUCAUAUCUUGCCUAAUCACCUCUCCCGAAUACUUCUUUGGACUACCUUUGCCUCUCCUCAAACCCACCAGGGACAACCUCUCACACCUCCUCCCCGAGGCAUUUGCGCUCCUCCUUUUCACAUGCCCAAACCAUCUAAGCCUUGCUUCCCGCAUCUUGUCUUCCACCGGAGCACUCCUACCGUGGCCCGAACAUAUUCAUUCCUAAUCUUAUCCAUCCUGGUAUGCCCGCACAUCUAUCUCAACAUCUUCAUUUAUGCUACUCUCAUCUUCCGAACAUGAAAGUUCUUGACUGGCCAACACUCUGCCCCAUACAACAUAAUUGGUUUAACAACCACUCUGUAGAACUUACCUUUAAAUUUAGGUGGUACGUUCUUAUCACAUAACACACCAGAUGCGAGUCUCUAUUUCACCCACCUUGCUCCGAUACGAUGUGCAAAAUCCCCAUCAAUCUCCCUAUUUUCUUAGAUAAUAGACACAAGAUACUUAAAACUAUCUCUCCUAGGGAUAACUUGUGUAUUAAGCCUCACGUCCACAUCCUCUUCAUUGGGCCUGUCACUAAACUUGCACUCCAAGUAUUCUGUCUUGGUCCUACUCAACUUGAAACCUUUAGACUCCAGGGUUUGUCUCCAGACCUCUAGUUUCUCAUUUAAACUACCUUGUGUCUAAUCAAUCAAUCCAAUAUCAUAUGCAUAUAAUAUACACCAAGGCACCUCCCCUUGAAUGUGUUGCGUCAGUGUGUCCAUCGCGAAUGCAAAUAAGAACGGGCUAAGAGCUGACCCCUGAUGCAACUCCAUCAUAACUGUAAAGUGUUCCGAGACCCCCUCCCCCACUAUCCUUACCUGGCUUUUAGAUCCAUCAUACAUGUCCUUAAUCACUGUAGUGUAAGCAAUAUGAACACCUCUAACGUCCAAGAAUCUCUAUAGAACCUCCCUUGGGAGUUUGGCGUAUGCUUUCUCUAGGUCAAUGAACACCAUAUGUAAGUCCAUCUUCCUCUUCCUUAUACUGCUCCACCAACCUCCUUACAAGGUGAAUGGCUUCCGUAGACGAACACCCCGACAUGAAUUCGAACUGAUUUUCAGAAAUAGAUACACUCCUUCUCACCCUUGCUUCCAUCACACUCUCCCAAACUUUUACAGUAUGGCUCAGCACCUUGAUACCCCUAUAGUUUGUUAUAAUUUUGUAUAUCACCCUUAUUCUUAUACAGCGAAAUUAUCGUACUCUACCUCCAUUCUUCAGGCAUCUUCUUCGUCCUAAAAAUGUUGUUAAAUAACCGAGUGAGCCAUUCCAAGUUUUCCAUACCCACACUCUUCCAAAACUUCCACCGGGAUCUCGUCUGGCCCACUCGCUCUUUCCCUACUCAUCUUAUGCAUAGCCCCCUCGACCUCCUCAAUUCUUAUACACCUACAAUAACUAAAAUCUCGACGACUCUCGAAGUACUCCAAAUCACCCAACUCAAUGACUCUUUCCCCUCCUUAUCUAGGCAUUUAUGGAAGUAUGUUUGUCAUCUACGUCUAAUAUGUGCCUCUUCCACUAAUACUCUGCCUUCCUCAUCUUUGAUGCACUUCACUUGGUCUCGGUCAUGGGCCUUCCUUUUUCUCGCCUUGGUUAGUCUGUACAGCUUCUUGUCCCCACCUUUAUCCCUAAGAUAUUCAUACAAAUGUCUAAACGCUACAGUCGUAGCCGAUGUAACCGCUAGCUUCGCCUCCUUCUUGGCCUUCUUGUACCUCUCUUUAUUCGUCCUCUUCUCCUCCUCGUCCUUGCUCUCUACCAGCUUCAUAUACGCUACUUUCUUGGCUUCUAAGUGCCAUCAUUUUAAGAAAAUACUACAAUGUUCAACACAACCAUACCUUACAAGAAAUCACAGAAUAAACAUAUAUAACUUCAUAAAAACAUUUAUAUGAAUUUAACCUCUGAAAAGAGCUAAUUUCUAAACACUUCAUGAAUCAUGUCUCUGAAGAUAGCCUCCGGAAAGAACUUACUUCAGAAUACUUCAGAAUAUGAAGUUUUGAACAAUGUCAUACUUCAUCAUCAUUAGCUUUAUUACAAAAAUCCAAAAACACCCACAGAAAUAAAGUAUCACACAAAAUGAUAGCUUGAAACUACAACAUGCAUCAAAACCUAAAACAAGUUAAACCCUAAAAACAAUCAAUGAAAGACAAGGGUCUAAACUAUUCGUCUUUUUUUAAACACCAAACAUGAUUAAAAUAAACAUAUGUACAAAACAUAAACCAAAAAACCUCACAAGAAAUCACAGAAUAAACAUAUAUAACUUCAUGAAUUAUAUAUCUGAAGUUAGCCUAUGAGCUAACUUCAAAAUACUUUAAAAAUCAUGUCUCUUAAGUUAGCCUCUGAAAAGAGCUUACUUCGGAAUACUUCAAAAUAUGAAGUUUUGAACAAUGCAAUAUUUCAUCAUCAUUAGAUUCAUCACAAUUAAUCCAAAAACACAUAUAGAAAUAAAUUAUAACAAAAAAUGAGAGUUUAAAGCUCCAAUAACACAAAUUAAACCAUAAAAACUAGUAAUUUUACCACUAAUCAAUGAAAUACUAGGGUUUAAACUAAUUGCCUUUACUUUAAACAUUAAACAUGAUUAGACUAAACAUACAGAACAUCAACAAAAAUAGAAAAACCAUCAUUAUAUUACCGCAUAAUAGGCAAAUUGAAGCAUAGAAAAAAUGUGAAAUACUAAAAUCAUACCUGUAAUGGAUACUAAACCUUGUCGAAAAAAAAGACUGUUGUUCUUCCGUUAGAGAAAUCUGAAAAUUUAACAAGAAAAACGAACACAGACGAGAGAAAGAGAAACAUUGAUAGAAAGAAACCUAGAAAUACAGACGAAAGACGCCUUUUAAAUGGAAAGGGAAAAAUCAUCUUUUCGCUACAUUUUUAACUAAGUGGAGCGUAACUAUGCAAAGAACCAACCAAAGUGGG
rnacentral:lncRNA from 1 species